ensembl:ncRNA T01G5.10 ncRNA
UCCAAUUUGAACUUUCUUGUCAUCUUGAACUAUAUAAAUGAACAGAACAUUUAUGAAAAAUGAACAUGCUCCGCCGACUUUUGGAAUGUAGUGAUGAGCCCAGUUGAUAUACAUU